rnacentral:lncRNA from 1 species
GUCAAAUCUCCAGCCUCAGACAAUGACAGCAGCACGACUCAACAGAUUGUGUUCCUGAGUUUUGGUGACACCCAACCUGCUGCCCACAAGGAGCCCAACCCCAAGUGAUAGUCAGCAGGUGUUGGCUGUCUUGUGGGAGCGAGGAGAAGAGGUGGACAGCAAGGAGGAAAGGUGGAAUGCCAGCAGCACACCCUUGUUGGCACCUUACAAAUGGCAAGAUGUCAAGGAAGGGGAAGCUGUGCUGUGCAAUGCACAUCAGCAGUCAGCAAAGGCGAGUUCUCUUCCUGAUCUCAUGGUGGAGGGGUGAGUGAGCUGACGGCUGCAGACCAUGAUGUCCAUCCAGGAGAACAGUCUACCUUCAGGAAAGCCAGGCAAAGAAGACAUACAUGUGUUUAAUAUAAAAUCUGUUUUAAAAGGGCCCCUGUGUGGUGCAAAUUUCUG